rnacentral:lncRNA from 1 species
UCCAGUGACGCCCAUGAUCACCCAAAAUCCAUAAAUGAUGGCCUAUCCUAAUAUAGUCAAGGCUCCGAUGAAGGUAGGAUCAUCGUUGUUUGUGGCUCGGUUGAGGCAAAGUCGGUUGUAGAAGACAAUUGGAAAAGUUUGAGGCCUAGUCAUGCUCUCGUCUCGCCUGAGUCCGGCGAGAAAGGCGUUGUUUUGUUGCGAACAUAAACAGUAUAUUCGUGUUUAAUUAAGUUCGUAUGAGCGAUAAGAUUUCGUUAUUUGUUUUAGGAUCAUCAGAUCUAUUUUUCUCCCACUUUAAAUCAUCAGAUCAAUUUUUUUCAUUAUCAGGUAACAUCUUUUCUAAUUUUCUUCAUGUUAAUUACCGUUGUCUCAUAUGUUUUCUUGAUUAAAG